rnacentral:rRNA from 1 species
UACAGAGGUCUCAAGCGUUGUUCGGAUUCAUUGGGCGUAAAGGGUGCGUAGGUGGCGCUGUAAGUCGGGUGUGAAAUUUCGGAGCUUAACUCCGAAACUGCAUUCGAUACUGCGGUGCUUGAGGACUGGAGAGGAGACUGGAAUUCAUGGUGUAGCAGUGAAAUGCGUAGAGAUCAUGAGGAAGACCAGUGGCGAAGGCGGGUCUCUGGACAGUUCCUGACACUGAGGCAACGAAGGCCCAGGGGAGCAAACGGG